ACACAAAGGGCCCGGAUGGGAUGGCACAGGCCUGUUGUACCAGCACUCUGGGAGGCUGAGGCAGGAGGAU
rnacentral:miRNA from 1 species